AAAAAGUAAGUCAUUUUUUGCAGUGUGACUCCAUUGAAUGUUCUUGUGAGAUAAAGAAAGUCUCUCUUUUUGUGUGUGGUGUGUGUGAUGUAGAUUAAACAUGACCGGGCCAAAACGGACAUGGCAGCAGGUCAAAAUCAAAUACAAGAACAUUCUGCAGAAUGCAGUGAAAAAGAAUACCCAGAGACAAGGCACGGGUGGUGGGUCACCAAAAGCUGACCUCACCCCAGCAGAGGCCAGCUUUGGAGCUAAAUAAAGGCAGGCCUGUUGGAGGGGAUCCCGGGGGAAAAGAGACUAGCAUAGGUCCCUCCCAAGAUGCCACCCGCUUCAUACAAGUGUCUGGCAGCACUGUGUUACUAUUAAAGCCACCAGCACGAGCACCAGACGAUGCUGAUCCAGUGAGUACUCAAUCAAAGGCAUACUGUAGGCCUGGCAUGUCUUGUCUACUAGCUUCAAUAUGAAUCCGAUUAAAUGUGAUAGGGUCAAGGCCCCAUUUCAUCAGCACAUAACGGCAAUGAUGAUGAGGAGACCAUCUCUCUGGAUUCCAGAAGGCAUAAGGACCCAGUGUCAUUGGUGCACUGGACUGCACACACAUAAGGAUAAAAGCCCCCUCAGGUGCCCAUGAGGCAGAUUUUGUAAAUAUGAAAUCUUUUUACAGCAUUAAUGUUCAGGUGAACAUAACUUUUUGAUAUUUUCCAUUGAACACUGGCAAAAUGGCCUGGCUCAGUCCAUGACUCCAGAAUCUUUCGGACCUCUGAAAUCUAUCAGUGCCUAUCACAAGGUGAAUUCUCUGGUGUGUUGCUGGGAGACAGGGGGUAUGGCUGCCAGCCUUUUUUCCUGACACCUUUCACAGACCCCCAGGAAGCACAGCAGGCCUACAACUAUGCCCAUGCCAGGGCCAGUGUUGAAAUUACCUUUGACCUCCUGAAGGCACGCUCUCACUGCCUUCACAAAUUAAGGGUCAGCCCUGUGAGGGCAUGUGACAAUACUGUGGCUCGUGGUGUCCUCCACAAUGUGGCCUGCCUGAGGAAGGAGAGGGCCAUGGACUGGGACAAUCCGGAAAUCUUCCCUGAUGACAACAGUGAUCGGCUGCUGAGGGACCAAUAUGUGUUGAAUUAUUUUAGUUAGUAUGCGUGCUUUCAAUUAUUAUUAUUUUUUUUUUAUUUGGCCUCUUUUGAUGUUUAUGCUGUAUACUGUGUGUAUACUGUUUGUAAUACAAGCUUGCAGGGAGGCUACUGCAUCCAUUAAUUUGUCUGUUCAGUUAGUGUGUGUAUGGAUUUGUCCUGCAUUUAUUUCAGUGUGCAGACAUGCAGGGUGUGUUAUAUACAGACCUUUGAAUAUGUAUUUAUCCUUUGGUUGUAUAAUAUGCUUUGAUUCUGUGCUUUCCAUCUUGUAGAGUCACCGUGUGACUUCAGUUUCGAAAGGAGCUGAUG